rnacentral:rRNA from 5 species
CGACCUGAGCUCAGGCAAGAUUACCCGCUGAACUUAAGCAUAUCAAUAAGCGGAGGA